rfam:Oryza rufipogon genomic scaffold, chr06
AAAAAGAGCAAACCGUGUAUUUUCGUGCCAACGUUUGACUGUCCGUCGUAUAUGAAAAAAUUUUAUAAUUAGUAUUUUCAUUGUUGUUAGAUGAUAAAACAUGAUUAAUACUUUAUGCGUACUUAUCUUUUUAAUUUUUUUAUAAUUUUUUCAAAUAAGACGGACGGUCAAACGUUAGACACGGAAACUAGGGUUUGCCUUUUUU